UGAUGUGUUUUAUAACCAACCAGUUUGAAUGCAAGUGAUGGUUCAUUCAAGCUCUCACGAUACAUUUCAGGUUCUGAUGUGUACACUGUAUGUGAAGGUAUACAAGCCCAAAUUGAUGGAUAAGAGAUGUGAUAAGUUAUCUUUUCCUUUCCCUAACAACCGUUUUCCUUCAAAUUAUUAAUAUUGAAAGUGAGGAUGACCUGCAUUGCACACGUGCUUCUCCUUCUCCAUUGCCGCUAUUGUCCAGUGAGUUUGGGAUUCAUCUGAGUUCCCUUGAUAAAUUGAAUGCAUGUGAUGGUUCAUUCAAGCUCUUAGGAUACAUUUCAGGUCAUGAUGUGUACACUGUGAAGGUAUACAGAAGCCCAAUUUGAUGGAUAAGAGAUGUGAUAAGUUAUCUUUUCCUUUCCAUAACGAUCAUGUUCCUUCAAAUUAUUGAUAUUGAAAAGUCCUUUAAUAUUUCUGUAGCACGGUACAUCUAUACAGAUUCAACAAAUAUAUGUAUGUACUAAAUGUAACACUAGCUUUUGGUGGCAUCAACUCUCUCUCUCUUUCCCUCUCAACACACACAUUUGUAUUGAUGUAAAGCCAGAGUAACUCGUGUACAGAAUGUAAAGAAAUGCUACAAUAAUGACAUAGGUAAUUUGAUUGUAACAUCA